UGGAUAACCUACCUAUAAGACUUGGAUAACUUCUGGAAACUGGAGCUAAUACCGGAUAAUAUUUUGAACCGCAUGGUUCAAAAGUGAAAGACGGUCUUGCUGUCACUUAUAGAUGGAUCUGCGCUGCAUUAGCUAGUUGGUAAGGUAACGGCUUACCAAGGCAACGAUGCAUAGCCGACCUGAGAGGGUGAUCGGCCACACUGGAACUGAGACACGGUCCAG
rnacentral:rRNA from 1 species